rnacentral:rRNA from 1 species
AGAGCGAACGCUGGCGGCAGGCCUAACACAUGCAAGUCGAGCGCCCGUAGCAAUACGGGAGCGGCAGACGGGAGAGUAACACGUGGGAACGUACCCUUCAGUUCGGAAUAACCCAGGGAAACUUGGACUAAUACCGAAUACGUCCGUAAGGAGAAAGAUUUAUCGCUGAAGGAUCGGCCCGCGUCUGAUUAGCUUGUUGGUGAGGUAACGGCUCACUAAGGCGACGAUCAGUAGCUGGUCUGAGAGGAUGAUCAGCCUCACUGGGACUGAGACACGGCCCAGACUCCUACGGGAGGCAGCAGUGGGGAAUAUUGGACAAUGGGCGCAAGCCUGAUCCAGCCAUGCCGCGUGGAUGAUGAAGGCCCUAGGGUUGUAAAGUCCUUUCGGCGGGGAAGAUAAUGACGGUACCGCAGAAGAAGCCCGGCUAACUUCGUGCCAGCAGCCGC